CAGUAGCCGCGGGAAUACGAAGGGUGCAAGCGUUACUCGGAAUUACUGGGCGUAAAGCGCACGCAGGCGGUCUGACAAGUCAGAUGUGAAAUCCCCGGGCUUAACCUGGGAACUGCAUUUGAAACUGGCAGGCUAGAGUCUUGUAGAGGGGGGUAGAAUACCAGGUGUAGCGGUGAAAUGCGUAGAGAUCUGGAGGAAUACCGGUGGCGAAGGCGGCCCCCUGGACAAAGACUGACGCUCAGGUGCGAAAGCGUGGGGAGCAAACAGGAUUAGAUACCCGGGUAGUCCCUGUCUCUUAUAA
rnacentral:rRNA from 1 species